rnacentral:rRNA from 1 species
AUUGAACGCUGGCGGCAUGCCUUACACAUGCAAGUCGAACGGCAGCACGGAGCUUGCUCUGGUGGCGAGUGGCGAACGGGUGAGUAAUAUAUCGGAACGUACCCAAGAGUGGGGGAUAACGUAGCGAAAGUUACGCUAAUACCGCAUACGAUCUAAGAAUGAAAGCAGGGGACCUUCGGGCCUUGUGCUCCUGGAGCGGCCGAUAUCUGAUUAGCUAGUUGGUGAGGUAAAGGCUCACCAAGGCAUCGAUCAGUAGCUGGUCUGAGAGGACGACCAGCCACACUGGAACUGAGACACGGUCCAGACUCCUACGGGAGGCAGCAGUGGGGAAUUUUGGACAAUGGGGGCAGCCCUGAUCCAGCAAUGCCGCGUGAGUGAAGAAGGCCUUCGGGUUGUAAAGCUCUUUUGUCAGGGAAGAAACGGUGAAGGCUAAUAUCCUUUGCUAAUGACGGUACCUGAAGAAUAAGCACCGGCUAACUACGUGCCAGCCGCCGCCGUAA